GAUGAAGAACGUAGCGAAAUGCGAUACGUAAUGUGAAUUGCAGAAUUCAGUGAAUCAUCGAGUCUUUGAACGCACAUUGCGCCCCCUGGUAUUCCGGGGGGCAUGCCUGUCCGAGCGUCAUUGCUGCCCUCAAGCACGGCUUGUGUGUUGGGCCUCCGUCCUCCUCCCGGGGGACGGGCCCGAAAGGCAGCGGCGGCACCGCGUCCGGUCCUCGAGCGUAUGGGGCUUCGUCACCCGCUCUUGUAGGCCCGGCCGGCGCUUGCCGACACAUCAAUCUUUUUUCCAGGUUGACCUCGGAUCAGUUAGGGAUACCCGCUGAACUUAAGCAUAUCAAUAAGCGGAGGA
rnacentral:misc_RNA from 1 species